rnacentral:rRNA from 1 species
CACGUAGGGGGCAAGCGUUGUCCGGAUUUAUUGGGCGUAAAGAGCUCGUAGGUGGCUGAGUAAGUCGGAUGUUAAAUCCCCAGGCUCAACCUGGGACACCACCCGAUACUGCUCUGGCUAGAGUCCGGUAGGGGAGCGUGGAAUUCCGGGUGUAGCGGUGGAAUGCGUAGAGAUCCGGAAGAACACCGGUGGCGAAGGCGGCCUGCUGGGCAGUUGCUGACACUGAGGCGCGACAGCGUGGGGAGCAAACAGG